AUUGAACGCUGGCGGCAUGCUUUACACAUGCAAGUCGAACGGCAACACGGGGGCAACCCUGGUGGCGAGUGGCGAACGGGUGAGUAAUACAUAGGAACGUAUCCUGAAAUGGGGGAUAGCUCGGCGAAAGCCGGAUUAAUACCGCAUACGAUCUACGGAUGAAAGCAGGGGAUUCGCAAGAACCUUGCGUUUCUGGAGCGGCCUAUGUCUGAUUAGCUAGUUGGCGGGGAAAAGCCCACCAAGGCGACGAUCAGUAGCUGGUCUGAGAGGACGGCCAGCCACACUGGGACUGAGACACGGCCCAGACUCCUACGGGAGGCAGCAGUGGGGAAUCUUGCUCAAUGGGCGAAAGCCUGAAGCA
rnacentral:rRNA from 1 species